UACAGGGGGUGCAAACGUUGCUCGGAAUCAUUGGGCGUAAAGCGCGUGUAGGCGGCUUUGCAAGUCGGGUGUGAAAUCCCUCGGCUCAACCGAGGAAGUGCGCCCGAAACUGCAGGGCUUGAGUACCGGAGAGGAUGGCGGAAUUCCCCAAGUAGAGGUGAAAUUCGUAGAUAUGGGGAGGAACACCGGCGGCGAAGGCGGCCAUCUGGACGGAUACUGACGCUGAGACGCGAAAGCGUGGGGAGCAAACAGG
rnacentral:rRNA from 1 species